rnacentral:rRNA from 1 species
AGUCGAACGAAGUAGCAAUACUUAGUGGCAGACGGGUGAGUAACAUGUGGGUAUCUACCCUUUGGCCUGGAAUAACACGAGGAAACUUGUGCUAAUACCAGAUAAGUCUUUACGGAGAAAGCUUUAUGCACCAUUGGAUGAGCCCGCACUUGAUUAGUUUGUUGGUGGGGUAAUGGCCUACCAAGACUUUGAUCAAUAGCUGAUUUGAGAGGAUGAUCAGCCACAUUGGGACUGAGACACGGCCCAAACUCCUACGGGAGGCAGCAGUGGGGAAUCUUGCACAAUGGAGGAAACUCUGAUGCAGCGAUGCCGCGUGAGUGAAGAAGGCCUUUGGGUUGUAAAGCUCUUUCGUCGGGGAAGAAAAUGACCGUACCCGAAUAAGAAGGUCCGGCUAACUUCGUGCCAGCAGCCGCGGUAAUACGAAGGGACCUAGCGUAGUUCGGAAUUACUGGGCUUAAAGAGUUCGUAGGUGGUUGAAAAAGUUGGUGGUGAAAUCCCAGAGCUUAACUCUGGAACUGCCAUCAAAACUUUUCAGCUAGAGUUUGAUAGAGGAAAGCAGAAUUUCUAGUGUAGAGGUGAAAUUCGUAGAUAUUAGAAAGAAUACCAAUUGCGAAGGCAGCUUUCUGGAUCAUUACUGACACUGAGGAACGAAAGCAUGGGUAGCGAAGAGGAUUAGAUACCCUCGUAGUCCAUGCCGUAAACGAUGUGUGUUAGACGUUGGAAAUUUAUUUUCAGUGUCGCAGCGAAAGCGAUAAACACACCGCCUGGGGAGUACGANCGCAAGGUUAAAACUCAAAUGAAUUGACNGGGACCCGCACAAGUAG